rnacentral:tRNA from 1 species
CCCCCCGUAGUUUAAUUGGAAAGAACGACACCCUUACGCAGUGUUAGAUACGGGUUCAAGUCCCGUCGGGGGGU